rnacentral:rRNA from 1 species
GGAACUGAAACAUCUAAGUACCCCGAGGAAAAGAAAUCAACCGAGAUUCCCCCAGUAGCGGCGAGCGAACGGGGAGCAGCCCAGAGCCUGAAUCAGUGUGUGUAUUAGUGGAAGCGUCUGGAAAGGCGCGCGAUACAGGGUGACAGCCCCGUACACAAAAAUGCACAUGCUGUGAGCUCGAUGAGUAGGGCGGGACACGUGGUAUCCUGUCUGAAUAUGGGGGGACCAUCCUCCAAGGCUAAAUACUCCUGACUGACCGAUAGUGAACCAGUACCGUGAGGGAAAGGCGAAAAGAACCCCGGCGAGGGGAGUGAAAAAGAACCUGAAACCGUGUACGUACAAGCAGUGGGAGCCUCUUUAUGGGGUGACUGCGUACCUUUUGUAUAAUGGGUCAGCGACUUAUAUUCUGUAGCAAGGUUAACCGAAUAGGGGAGCCGAAGGGAAACCGAGUCUUAACUGGGCGUUAAGUUGCAGGGUAUAGACCCGAAACCCGGUGAUCUAGCCAUGGGCAGGUUGAAGGUUGGGUAACACUAACUGGAGGACCGAACCGACUAAUGUUGAAAAAUUAGCGGAUGACUUGUGGCUGGGGGUGAAAGGCCAAUCAAACCGGGAGAUAGCUGGUUCUCCCCGAAAGCUAUUUAGGUAGCGCCUCGUGAAUUCAUCUCCGGGGGUAGAGCACUGUUUCGGCAAGGGGGUCAUCCCGACUUACCAACCCGAUGCAAACUGCGAAUACCGGAGAAUGUUAUCACGGGAGACACACGGCGGGUGCUAACGUCCGUCGUGAAGAGGGAAACAACCCAGACCGCCAGCUAAGGUCCCAAAGUCAUGGUUAAGUGGGAAACGAUGUGGGAAGGCCCAGACAGCCAGGAUGUUGGCUUAGAAGCAGCCAUCAUUUAAAGAAAGCGUAAUAGCUCACUGGUCGAGUCGGCCUGCGCGGAAGAUGUAACGGGGCUAAACCAUGCACCGAAGCUGCGGCAGCGACGCUUAUGCGUUGUUGGGUAGGGGAGCGUUCUGUAAGCCUGCGAAGGUGUGCUGUGAGGCAUGCUGGAGGUAUCAGAAGUGCGAAUGCUGACAUAAGUAACGAUAAAGCGGGUGAAAAGCCCGCUCGCCGGAAGACCAAGGGUUCCUGUCCAACGUUAAUCGGGGCAGGGUGAGUCGACCCCUAAGGCGAGGCCGAAAGGCGUAGUCGAUGGGAAACAGGUUAAUAUUCCUGUACUUGGUGUUACUGCGAAGGGGGGACGGAGAAGGCUAUGUUGGCCGGGCGACGGUUGUCCCGGUUUAAGCGUGUAGGCUGGUUUUCCAGGCAAAUCCGGAAAAUCAAGGCUGAGGCGUGAUGACGAGGCACUACGGUGCUGAAGCAACAAAUGCCCUGCUUCCAGGAAAAGCCUCUAAGCAUCAGGUAACAUCAAAUCGUACCCCAAACCGACACAGGUGGUCAGGUAGAGAAUACCAAGGCGCUUGAGAGAACUCGGGUGAAGGAACUAGGCAAAAUGGUGCCGUAACUUCGGGAGAAGGCACGCUGAUAUGUAGGUGAAGCGACUUGCUCGUGGAGCUGAAAUCAGUCGAAGAUACCAGCUGGCUGCAACUGUUUAUUAAAAACACAGCACUGUGCAAACACGAAAGUGGACGUAUACGGUGUGACGCCUGCCCGGUGCCGGAAGGUUAAUUGAUGGGGUUAGCGGUAACGCGAAGCUCUUGAUCGAAGCCCCGGUAAACGGCGGCCGUAACUAUAACGGUCCUAAGGUAGCGAAAUUCCUUGUCGGGUAAGUUCCGACCUGCACGAAUGGCGUAAUGAUGGCCAGGCUGUCUCCACCCGAGACUCAGUGAAAUUGAACUCGCUGUGAAGAUGCAGUGUACCCGCGGCAAGACGGAAAGACCCCGUGAACCUUUACUAUAGCUUGACACUGAACAUUGAGCCUUGAUGUGUAGGAUAGGUGGGAGGCUUUGAAGUGUGGACGCCAGUCUGCAUGGAGCCGGCCUUGAAAUACCACCCUUUAAUGUUUGAUGUUCUAACGUUGGCCCCUGAUCGGGGUUGCGGACAGUGUCUGGUGGGUAGUUUGACUGGGGCGGUCUCCUCCUAAAGAGUAACGGAGGAGCACGAAGGUUGGCUAAUCCUGGUCGGACAUCAGGAGGUUAGUGCAAUGGCAUAAGCCAGCUUGACUGCGAGCGUGACGGCGCGAGCAGGUGCGAAAGCAGGUCAUAGUGAUCCGGUGGUUCUGAAUGGAAGGGCCAUCGCUCAACGGAUAAAAGGUACUCCGGGGAUAACAGGCUGAUACCGCCCAAGAGUUCAUAUCGACGGCGGUGUUUGGCACCUCGAUGUCGGCUCAUCACAUCCUGGGGCUGAAGUAGGUCCCAAGGGUAUGGCUGUUCGCCAUUUAAAGUGGUACGCGAGCUGGGUUUAGAACGUCGUGAGACAGUUCGGUCCCUAUCUGCCGUGGGCGCUGGAGAACUGAGGGGGGCUGCUCCUAGUACGAGAGGACCGGAGUGGACGCAUCACUGGUGUUCGGGUUGUCAUGCCAAUGGCACUGCCCGGUAGCUAAAUGCGGAAGAGAUAAGUGCUGAAAGCAUCUAAGCACGAAACUUGCCCCGAGAUGAGUUCUCCCUGAGACUUUAAGUCUCCUGAAGGA